AUUGUUUACCAUGGAGUUGUCUACUUUUCAAAUUUUACUGACCAAGUUUUGUACAGUGACUGAUCCAUCUGCAGUUUCCGAACCAGUAACUGAUAUCUCAAAAAAAUAUUGCUUUAUUGAUGGUGUCUGGUCACCUCAGAGGAUCAACAUGAUUUGUUCAUUGAAAGACACUUGAAGGUGUAAGUUGUAAAAGGUUUUGAAAGACUUGCCAAAGCAAGGCAUUCUUGACAGGAAUAAACAUUGGGAGCAGCUCUAGCUGACUCAGCUCAGAGGAUGACAUCACAGUUAAUUGACAUCUUUCUGUUAACAAUGCAUGGAUUAUCUUAUCUUCUUCAUUCUAGGGGAAUUAUGCAUUGAGUGAAGACAUCUUGCUGUAGAAGAGAAGAACAAUUCAGAUAGUUCACAUGAUUUACAAUAUGGCUUUGAUUGUCUUAUGUUAAUGGCUGGUAAAGAACUGAAACAUGUAGGCUGGAGAUCACUUGAUAGAAAUCAAGAAAUCUCUGAUCUACAUUGUAUGAGAAAAUCAUGAAGUGGUUGUUGUCAUUGAUCCAGAAACUAAGUUGCAAUCUGUCUUGAUAAAUAUAUCAUACAGAUUUAAUGGUGGCCUACUCAACCCGAGGCGGCUUAAAGCAAAAACAAAAACAAACGCAGCAAUAAUCAGAGACUUGCUA